AAACCCUUGUUUCAAUGCACCCUCUUCUUAUGCACGCGUUCUUUGUUUGCUUUGACAACAUUAUAUACAUUUUAUUCGAUUUCAUUGCCAUUUUUCUAUGGUUUAAUAUGUUUCGUGAAAUGUGACGUAUCCUGGACAAUUGAAAGUGCAAUGGUUGCGUUUACUAGAAUUGUUAUUGAUAUAUCUGUGUCGAAUUGAAAAAUCAUUAUUCGUGAUAUUUUUUACUUUUACAUUGCUUCAAAUUAAUCUUUUUAAACAAAUAAUUAUAUAUUUGAAAUGCUACUUAAAAAGGUAUAUGUCCAUGCUGUUUUUAUUUGAUCGGUCGAAACGACGCAAUACUAUUUUUUCUUUCUUAAAAUUAUAUAUUUGACGUGCAAUUAUUUAAAUCAUUAAAAUAGUUAGUCUUAGACUGAAGAUACAUAUAAAUUUUACGAUAGUGAACUCUUCCUUGGAAACAGACUGAAGAUUAAAAGUACGUGCGCAUACGGCAUUGGACUUUGUGUACGCUCUCAGCUGACGGGGGCCUGUCAGCUGCCUUCCAUGAGAAGAUCAGGGCCGUCGUUUUGUGGCGUUCUACAUAAUUUUUUCCGUUAUCUUGUUUGUCUCGAAUUUCAUAACAGAUUCUUUUUAUUUCAAUUUUACCUGAAUGGUACAUUAUAAUGAGGAUUUUUCCACUUAGUAACAGUGCACAAUCUGCCAUAUCGAAGAGCUCUGUCGUCACGUCCGCAUGUAUGCGUAGGAUAAGAAUCUAUUAUUCCAUUGUUAAUUGAUCAUCAUACACUCCUACUUGUUAAUUGAUCUUCUUACACUCCUUAAAUAUGUGAUUAUAUGUCUCCAAGUCAUGAGUGUAUUUUUUUUUUAAUUAAUUUUUUAUUUUUUAUUUUUUAAAUUCUUUAUAUUGUUUUUAACUUAAUGUAAUGUCAAUGACAUUCUAAUAUCUACAUUUAAAAUGAUAAUUUUGCUGAUACUUAACCAGCAAUGUCACUAAGAUAAUGCUUGUUGUUUUGUACACAUUCGCAGCUGAUUCAACCAUCGCAUCAUAAAAACGUUCUAAGUAUUAUCUUUUAGUACGCACAUACCUUCUUGCGACAUUUCUUCUUGCUAUGUGUGAAUGUGUACAGCUUCGAUCGUUCUGAAAAACCUAUAUAAUGUUCAACGUAAAACCUGUGGUAAAGGCUAAGUGGAGAAUUGACGUAACGAUUGCUUCUUCAAACCAUCAAACUUUCAUCGAUUUUUGUAUCUUAAAUAUUUAGUGAAAUUUAUCAACAUGCAUAUAAUAUAAAUUGACUCUUGCUAUAAAAAUUGUGCCAUCAAUAGAAGCUCUUCAAAGAAAUAUUUCUAUUUUCUUUUUUUAUGUCGAUCGCAAUUUGACUACGGGUUUCUCGAAUCGAUCGAGUGCCUUUCGAAUUUAAUAGACUGAAAACUAUUUGGUAUAUGGAUGUGUUUAUAAAGAGUAUAUUAAAAUGCAGUUCGCUUUGAAAACAUCCAUGAUGCAUCUGUCCAGGACGCUUUACAUAGAAAAUUAAAUAUGCGCGACGAGUUACGAAGGACGAUGACCCGAAUUAACUAAACUCGAAGCUACUGUACGCUGCUUGUUCCUCUCCCGGUGUUUAUUUAAGUUGCAGUGGUGUAGCCUCGUGCAAUUUCUGUCUAACCAGAACGAAGCAACAGUGACCGAACGAAGCUACUAGAGUUAUGUCGGUUCGCGCAACGAAAGUUCUUCAUUCGUUCUUUCGUAACUAUAUAUUGGUCACAUAAAUAUAUGUAUAUAUAUACAUAUAUCUAUUGCACGUAUAUCUAUUUUACUUUUCAACGAGAAAAUGUAUAAAUUUCGAUGCCGAUUGAAUAACACAAAAUUUAUUUUAAAUGCUACUGUUUUCAUGAACGCGUCCGUGGACCUGUUGGACGACGCUUUUGUGUACGUUUACAGCUGAUUGGGCUGUCAGCUGAGCUGCGCGCGAUAGAACCGUCUCGCAGGCUGGCCAACGCAUGUUCCAGAAUACUCUGAGGGGGUCUUGUCUUUCUAAUAAUUCUUUUUCUCUGUUAUUUUCCUAUAGAGAUUCUGCUAGUGCAAUUAUAUCAGUCAGGGCAAUGGCUUUUAUAAUUAUUAAACUGUAUUGCUCAUGGUUAAAAUAAGUUGACGAACCAAUAAUCGAAGCCGUACAUAUACAUAAAUAUAUUGCGAAUAGACAACACAUAUGUAUGUCUCUAUAUGUUUAUUCGAAAUACGUAGAUAUAUGCACGCAAGAAAAAAAAGCUAGAUGGAAUAAGGAUAGAAGAAAGCGCUGACCAACAACGAACUUUAAUGAGAAAAAAGCUAUUGACUUUGUGAUUAUCGAUUUGAUUACUUUUUUUUUUUUUUGUUAAUAUAUUUCAAUAAAACGCAAGAAUUCAAGAUUUACAUUAGAUUUCUCACUAUUACAAUUAUUUUGUUUCAAUGAAAAUCUUCGCAGCAAAAAACUAACUUAUUAUCAUUAUUGUUAUUCAGGAAUUUACUUGAAAGUAUGAUUCAUUCGUUCUUAUACGCAUAUAUUCAACGUUAUCUACUAGUAUAUAUUACGCAAUUCAUAGUAUUUACAAAUUCGAAUGUUUUCUCUUUUUGUUAUCAGUUAAGAUUUAGCAUCUUCAGUUAAAUAUUUCAUAUACAUAAACAUUUAUUGAUUAAAUUUUCAUAAGACUUAGCAAAAGUAUCAAACAAGAAAAGUUUUUUUGGAUUUUGUUUUAUUUCUAAAAAAAUGAAUUUGAUUUUUAUUAUUUAACAUAACUGGGAAAAUGUUCUUGGCAACUUGUUCGUCAACUUAUCGUGGUUCGUUUCUUUCUGCAGUUUUUAUACAUGGAACCGUUAUAUUGUAUACAAUUACUCCCGUUGCGUGUGCAUGCUAUCUUGCCUGUGAUUCAACAAUCUUGGCUCUUUUAGACAUCCGCGCGAAUUAUUUAUAAAACGACUGUGCACCUUACUGUAUGGAGAAGUUAUCUGCAUGCUAAGCAAAAACACUCCGUUGCUUGUCGCUCAGUCCCGCCGCCACGGAGUGUAAUGUAAAACUUGUUGCGAGGAAAACGUGCGACGUCUUUAGAGUCAUUGUUCUCUCUCUCUCUUGUAGGGGGGAAUAUACACAGACGCACACAUACGAUACACUAGGCAAUCGCGUGCAUGCCGCUUCUCCCGUAUGGACUUGUGCUUGAGAUUUCUUAACUACCGCGUGAAUAGAAUAUCUUCAAAUAUUUUUGAUUUCUGCAAUUUUAUAUUUAAUCGUAACAUUGGUUGGUAAUGUUCUUUUAGGUCGUGAAAUGAAAAAACAAUUUAUAGCUACUUUUUGUGAAAAUAAAUGUUCGACUGAUAUCUGGAUUGUAUUAUCUUUUCUACUUUACAUCAAUUUGCAACGUUGAUUAUUUUGGUAUCAAAAUAGAAUAGAAUUUGCGUUUUAUCUUUCCUUCAAUGCGCGAUAUGUAGUAUAUCAAAUAAUUUAAGUUAAUUUAUAUUACAAUAAAUAUUAUAAUAAUAUCAAACCUUAAAGAUCAUGAAUAUUGAAAAAUUUAUAAAAUCACUUUUUUUUUUUUUAUGGAAAAGUUCAUUGCUUGUAACAUACGGAUCAUUAUCCGUCGAGAAGUUGCGUGACUUAUUGAAGCCAUAUCUCCCCAUGCAUUCAAUGGAAAACAAA